rnacentral:rRNA from 2 species
UUAAAUUGAAGAGUUUGAUCAUGGCUCAGAUUGAACGCUGGCGGCAGGCCUAACACAUGCAAGUCGAACGGUAACAGGAAGCAGCUUGCUGCUUUGCUGACGAGUGGCGGACGGGUGAGUAAUGUCUGGGAAACUGCCUGAUGGAGGGGGAUAACUACUGGAAACGGUAGCUAAUACCGCAUAACGUCGCAAGACCAAAGAGGGGGACCUUCGGGCCUCUUGCCAUCGGAUGUGCCCAGAUGGGAUUAGCUAGUAGGUGGGGUAACGGCUCACCUAGGCGACGAUCCCUAGCUGGUCUGAGAGGAUGACCAGCCACACUGGAACUGAGACACGGUCCAGACUCCUACGGGAGGCAGCAGUGGGGAAUAUUGCACAAUGGGCGCAAGCCUGAUGCAGCCAUGCCGCGUGUAUGAAGAAGGCCUUCGGGUUGUAAAGUACUUUCAGCGGGGAGGAAGGCGAUAAGGUUAAUAACCUUGUCGAUUGACGUUACCCGCAGAAGAAGCACCGGCUAACUCCGUGCCAGCAGCCGCGGUAAUACGGAGGGUGCAAGCGUUAAUCGGAAUUACUGGGCGUAAAGCGCACGCAGGCGGUCUGUCAAGUCGGAUGUGAAAUCCCCGGGCUCAACCUGGGAACUGCAUUCGAAACUGGCAGGCUAGAGUCUUGUAGAGGGGGGUAGAAUUCCAGGUGUAGCGGUGAAAUGCGUAGAGAUCUGGAGGAAUACCGGUGGCGAAGGCGGCCCCCUGGACAAAGACUGACGCUCAGGUGCGAAAGCGUGGGGAGCAAACAGGAUUAGAUACCCUGGUAGUCCACGCCGUAAACGAUGUCGACUUGGAGGUUGUGCCCUUGAGGCGUGGCUUCCGGAGCUAACGCGUUAAGUCGACCGCCUGGGGAGUACGGCCGCAAGGUUAAAACUCAAAUGAAUUGACGGGGGCCCGCACAAGCGGUGGAGCAUGUGGUUUAAUUCGAUGCAACGCGAAGAACCUUACCUACUCUUGACAUCCAGAGAACUUUCCAGAGAUGGAUUGGUGCCUUCGGGAACUCUGAGACAGGUGCUGCAUGGCUGUCGUCAGCUCGUGUUGUGAAAUGUUGGGUUAAGUCCCGCAACGAGCGCAACCCUUAUCCUUUGUUGCCAGCGGUUAGGCCGGGAACUCAAAGGAGACUGCCAGUGAUAAACUGGAGGAAGGUGGGGAUGACGUCAAGUCAUCAUGGCCCUUACGAGUAGGGCUACACACGUGCUACAAUGGCGCAUACAAAGAGAAGCGACCUCGCGAGAGCAAGCGGACCUCAUAAAGUGCGUCGUAGUCCGGAUUGGAGUCUGCAACUCGACUCCAUGAAGUCGGAAUCGCUAGUAAUCGUGGAUCAGAAUGCCACGGUGAAUACGUUCCCGGGCCUUGUACACACCGCCCGUCACACCAUGGGAGUGGGUUGCAAAAGAAGUAGGUAGCUUAACCUUCGGGAGGGGGCGCUUACCACUUUGUGAUUCAUGACUGGGGUGAAGUCGUAACAAGGUAACCGUAGGGGAACCUGCGGUUGGAUCACCUCCUUACCUUAAAGAA